UUUGCUGUCAUUAGCCAUUAUUGGCCCCAUCUCCUCCCCCUCCUGCCUCCCAGCAGCCCUGGGAAGUAGGAAGCGGCAAAGGUGGCCUCCAAUGCCUACUCUGCCCUGACCUGGCCAGGUGAUCCCAGUGAGGAACCUCUCUGAACAUCUGUUUCCUCAUCUUGGAUCAGGUCCGACCGCAGCCUCCCCAGACAGCCCCUUCCUGAGCCUGGGGCUGGCAAGGGAGAGACCAGGGGCAGGGCCUGGGCCAGGCCUCCUCAGGACUUUGCCCUCCCGCUCCCAGCUUUGCGGCUCCAAGUCUCAUCAGGUUGGCCUACUGGACCGUGUCUCCACCUCAGCUUCUCAAAGCCUGGUCCAGUUGGAGGGAAAUGUGAACAACAGAAAGGAGAAAAUGAGGCUGUCUCCAGGCCUUUGUGACCCAUGAGGAGGGGGGACGGAGAAGCGAGUGUGGCACGUGCCCAUGGGCAGACAGUGGAGGCAGAGGUCCUGUUCCGGGAUGGCAGGCAGCCUUUCCAGCCCCUGGGACAGCUGACCCUGCAGACUGCCAACCACAGCCUCCUGCUGACUGCACAGCUGCCAGGGGCAUCUGCUGGGCCAUGUGGAGGUGAGGGGGCCUGGGCUGGGGCACAGGGAAGGGGUUACCGUUCUCUCUCUGGGCAGAGGCCACAGUGCCAGGAACCCCGAGCCCUUUGGGUCCAUCUGUGCCCAGAAACCAGAGCACACAGCCCCAGCGUGAGGCCCACACCUGCCGCUGGCACCGAGACCUUUUGUCUAUUUCAUUCCUGCGUGGCCCCGAGGGAGUCCCAGCCUCUUCUCCAUCCUCACAGUCCAGGAUUGCAGCAGUUAGCUCUCAGGUGCAAGCCCGGCUGGAAGAGAAGUGUCAAAGCUUGGGUGCCUCUGUGA
rnacentral:lncRNA from 1 species